ACAUGUGGUUUCUUGUGUUGUUGCCACACCUAGCAAUGAAAUCAACACUUUAAGCACAAAUGUACAAAAAUAGAAGGCAGAAACGUCUGCCAAUAAAACAUGACCCCUGUCUGCCUUUGACGACUAGCAGAAUUCCACAAACACAGAAAAGCUCACACAUGGACAGGCUGAGCAGCUGAGGGCCGCAGAUAUGCUGCUGACAGAAACUGUCGGCGCAGUUCCCUGCAUUUCUUUUCUUUUUUUUUUCUCUGCGCAUGUCAGGGUUCGCUCUGGGCCCUCCUCAAAGGGUCCCACCUGGUCAGAACGAAGACGAGAUGACCUCGGAUAGAGCGGGGGGAAGCUUGGGAGCGCGAAGAGGAAUGAGGUGUCUACAGGGCAGGCAGCAGCGAUAAUAGGUGUCCUCAAGUACAGUGACCUAACAGCAACAGGCACCAAGGAGUGGCCCUAAAUGGAGCCCUACUGGGAUCAGUUGUUGGGACGCACUAAAAAUUAAACAAACAAAAAAAAAGGAGAGCAUAUUUUCAAUACUGUCCACCAACUUGGUCUCUGAAGUGUUUUCAAAGACGUGCAUAAAAGGGGGAUAUGUUUGUACCAGAAUAAAGCUUUCAGGAAGAACAAAUUCACUAACGCGUCGGAAGUGAGUAAAAGUGAUCUCUGACUCCAUCUAGUGGUGAAGACAGGUCAUUCUGCAACAAUAACAAUAAAGAGACAAAACACGAACUUUAAAACCUGAAGGCAUUACUUAUCACUCUCAAAAAAGAUUUCUACAGGAUGACAAGACAAGGAAACCAACUACCACCACAUAUUCUGUGCUUAUCUCUUUAUAGUUUUGUUUAGUUGAGGGUAGAAAAAAAAAAGAAACCUGAUCCUGUUCACUUAAGAGUUUAACUACACUAUGUAGCAAAUACUUGGGUAAGACACCAAAUAACUCAAGACUGGACACAUAUCUCGUUUUACUCAUCAGGAAGAGGGGACUAGAUUUGGAUGAGUGGGUGGCCAUUGUGGAGGAUAUUUAAGAAAUACAGAAGCUUGGAUAUGACUUACAAGAAAAUGGAAAGUUUUUGGUCUUCAUGUUUCGUCCUACAGUAGCAAUACGGUGAGAUUAGCCAAACAAAUCGCCUACAACUCUGACUAGACUUUGAAUCAUGAAUCCUGUUACAAUCAGGUUGAAGAUGCAGCGUUCCACAGUUCGCCAAGUUCUAUUUCAGUCUACCCUGAAGUUAAAACACUGACCGGCGUCGAGAGCCAUCUUCUGCUCGUUUUAAGAUGUGUAUUUUUGAUUCCCUCAACUUCUUCCGACAAACAAACGUUUCAUAUUGUCCUGCUGGAAAUAGUCGUCAGAAAACGUAGUCUGUGAUUCAAAAAGGUCAGCAACAUACUCAUCAGAAACAUCUCCCCAGAACCAAAUGUCUGAGUUUGACCGCAAAAACAGAAUAUAAAAAGGUGCAAUGACUUUCAGAUUUGUACAAACAUAAUUAAAACACAUAUCAGUGGCAGGCUUUUGAACUUUAUUGGCAUGUUUUUUUUUUUGCAAGAGCUGUCAUUUUAUUUCCAGUAAUAGUAAAUGCAUACCGACUGCUUGAGAUGAUUUUCUGAGUCUCGCCUCAGAGAAAUAACACCCCUUACUUACCAUAUUUACAAAGACAAACAUGGAUUUGUAGAUUAAUUCUAAUGUUACCCAGCCAAACUAGUUCAGGUGGGUAAAUCAUGCAGUAGAGCUCUAAUUUACUGAAAAACCUUGAUAUUGUUGAAAGAGGCUGGAUUAAGAUAUGAUCAGUAAAUUUUUGAAAACAAAAAAAAAAAAAGGUUUGGCAAUUCUCAAGCUGUCACAGUUCAGGUUAAAAGCAAUGAAACAAGACACAUAAAUAUUAUUUUUGACAAAUAAAAAGUGCAAAAGGGAGAUUAUCCUUUUGGGAUGAUUAAGAAUUCCAGUUU